GUGCUUGUUUCAGCACAUAUACUAAAAUUGGGAUGAUACAGAGAAUAUUAGCAUGGCCCCUGCACAAGGAUGACACACAAAUUCGUGAAGCAUUCCAUCUCUAA
ensembl:snRNA U6 U6 spliceosomal RNA